rnacentral:rRNA from 1 species
AGCGAACGCUGGCGGCAGGCCUAACACAUGCAAGUCGAACGAACUCUUCGGAGUUAGUGGCGGACGGGUGAGUAACACGUGGGAACGUGCCUUUAGGUUCGGAAUAACUCAGGGAAACUAGUGCUAAUACCGAAUGUGCCCUUCGGGGGAAAGAUUUAUCGCCUUUAGAGCGGCCCGCGUCUGAUUAGCUAGUUGGUGAGGUAACGGCUCACCAAGGCGACGAUCAGUAGCUGGUCUGAGAGGAUGACCAGCCACACUGGGACUGAGACACGGCCCAGACUCCUACGGGAGGCAGCAGUGGGGAAUCUUGCGCAAUGGGCGAAAGCCUGACGCAGCCAUGCCGCGUGAAUGAUGAAGGUCUUAGGAUUGUAAAAUUCUUUCACCGGGGACGAUAAUGACGGUACCCGGAGAAGAAGCCCCGGCUAACUUUGUGCCAGCAGCCGCAGUAACAC